GUCUGCAGAACCUACCUGAGAGAAGGGAUUUUUGAAGGCUAUGGAGACAGAUAGCCCAUAGUUCCCCGCCCCCAGAUGGGGGAGUAAGGAGGCUAGCUAACCCAGAGAGGAGGGAAUGCCAAAUGGGCCAGAACAGUUAUCAACGAGGAGCGCUAACAGAGGAGAGACUCUACACCACCACAUCUCAUCACUAGCACCAGCUGGGAUCCCUGUAGAGAAGACAUUUUCCUAGCGGUGUUUGUGCAAGCCAUAUCAGACUGGAAUAAAAAGAAGAGGAAAGCUGGAAAAAACAACUAAAUUACAAAACCAAACGUCAAAAUUAAUUUGUCAGUGG